UGAAAUGAGUUCUUAGAGAACUGUUGUUAAGUCCUGGAAAACCUGACAGACAGUCAGUGAGUGUGUCUGUGUCCAACUCUUCCUCACAGGUUAGUUAAUGACAGACAGUCAGUGAGUGUGUCUGUGUCCAACUCUUCCUCACAGGUUAGUUAAUGACAGACAGUCAGUGAGUGUGUCUGUGUCCAACUCUUCCUCACAGGUUAGUUAAUGAUGUUACUGAGUCAAUGUGAGCAGAUUGUGUCUGUAGAUUGAAGAGAAUCAGAGUCUCACUGAUGGUGGAAAUAAAGGUUUUACUUCCUUAAAACA